UCGUAGCUCAGUUGGAUAGAGUGCUUGACUACGAAUCAAGAGGUCGCGGGUUCGAAUCCCUCCGGG
rnacentral:tRNA from 1 species